rfam:Tinamus guttatus contig56256, whole genome shotgun sequence.
CCAAAGGCUCUUUUAAGAGCCACUCCAUGCCCAGUAAAAGGAGCUGU